CAUCCAUUACUAUGUUGUCUGAACAUCUUUUCUCGUUGGUCAUGAAAUACUGUUUAGCCCAAAUAUUGGAUGUGCAAAACACAAGAUACUUUUGACUUUUCCAUCUUUAAUCAUCAUUGUGAAAGUGGACUUGCUACUUCAGUCCCUCGUGAGAGUCUGCUGCAUCUACCUUGAGAUGGACAUGAGAUAAUCUUCCAUGGCCAAUGCCAGGUGCCCCAGAGGGAACAAACAGAACAGGUGGAAGUGAGCUGGACACAUCAUCCUCAGGCUGUCUGAGUGUCUUCCGAACUCAAAAUACCCCUUUAACUUCAGCUAAGGGUCUUCGUGGUUCUUUCACCACGUUCUUUCUCAAUGACCCUUCUCUGAACCAGUUCAUUGGACCUAGGACCUGAAGGGGCUAAAGGUGAAAGGCAAUGGGGAUGGAUUUCCUGUCAUCCUGUUCCUGUGCUCCACAGAUCAAUGAUCCUACUACUCUUUUAGAAGGGAAGGCAUUCUGUGUAAGGCCCAGCUCCUUUAGUUGGGAACUACCAAAACCUUUGGCGCAGGAGCUCUGCUUCAGAGAUUUCCAUAAUGUUGCAGGUUCCAGGAAAGCUCAGAGUUGUCAAAGGUGGCAAGAGCCCAAUAAAAAAGGGGGCAGUAAAACUGUUUUAGAGGGAGAGCAAGCCAAGGAAGGUAUGAUUAGGCUGAAGAUGUGCUUUAGGCACAGUGGAUCGAAUUAAGAGGACACACAGCUGAAGGUUCCCCUUUCCCUCCUAAAGGUGCAGAUCAGAGUCCAUGAUCUAAUACUGUGACUAUUACAGCCUUCUGGCACAAAUUCUCCGGGUUGGACUCUCUCUCUCCUUCUCAGCAACAUUGUACUAAUAACUAGUAUGACUCCUGUGGGAUUAUAAACAUUUUUGACAUGUUUUAAAUAGCAGCUGACA